CAGUUUGCAUCGAGGAUGUUGAAGGAGUCGGUUUUCGGUAUCCUGAUCCUGAGAUUCGUACUAAGGCGCUCAAAUGGAAUCAUUUCCUGAAUCGGUGCCCAGCUGUGUGGUUAAACACGACGUACAGACCUUGGGUAGAUACGCUCAACCCAGCAGAACAAAACCUUCGUGAUGACGGAGUCGG
rnacentral:SRP_RNA from 12 species